rnacentral:rRNA from 1 species
UACGUAGGGUGCAAGCGUUGUCCGGAAUUAUUGGGCGUAAAGAGCUCGUAGGCGGUUUGUCGCGUCUGCUGUGAAAACUCGGGGCUUAACCCCGGGCCUGCAGUGGGUACGGGCAGACUAGAGUGCGGUAGGGGAGACUGGAAUUCCUGGUGUAGCGGUGAAAUGCGCAGAUAUCAGGAGGAACACCGAUUGCGAAGGCAGCUCGCUGGAACGUAACUGACGCUGAGACGCGAAAGCGUGGGGAGCAAACAGG